UACGUAGGGUGCGAGCGUUAAUCGGAAUUACUGGGCGUAAAGCGUGCGCAGGCGGUUUUGUAAGUCAGAUGUGAAAUCCCCGGGCUUAACCUGGGAACUGCGUUUGAAACUACAAGGCUAGAGUGUGGCAGAGGGGGGUGGAAUUCCACGUGUAGCAGUGAAAUGCGUAGAGAUGUGGAGGAACACCGAUGGCGAAGGCAGCCCCCUGGGCUAACACUGACGCUCAUGCACGAAAGCGUGGGGAGCAAACAGG
rnacentral:rRNA from 1 species